GGGGAAUUUUGGACAAUGGGCGCAAGCCUGAUCCAGCAAUGCCGCGUGCAGGAUGAAGGCCUUCGGGUUGUAAACUGCUUUUGUACGGAACGAAAAGCCUCUCUCUAAUACAGGGGGGUGAUGACGGUACCGUAAGAAUAAGCACCGGCUAACUACGUGCCAGCAGCCGCGGUAAUACGUAGGGUGCAAGCGUUAUCCGGAAUUACUGGGCGUAAAGGGUGCGUAGGCGGUUUAUCAAGUCAGGGGUGAAAGGCUACGGCUCAACCGUAGUGAGCCUCUGAAACUGGUGAACUUGAGUGUAGGAGAGGAAAGUGGAAUUCCCAGUGUAGCGGUGAAAUGCGUAGAUAUUGGGAGGAACACCAGUGGCGAAGGCGACUUUCUGGACUACAACUGACGCUGAGGCACGAAAGCGUGGGGAGCAAACA
rnacentral:rRNA from 1 species